GAUGAACGCUGGCGGCGUGCCUAAUACAUGCAAGUCGAGCGAACGGACGAGAAGCUUGCUUCUCUGAUGUUAGCGGCGGACGGGUGAGUAACACGUGGAUAACCUACCUAUAAGACUGGGAUAACUUCGGGAAACCGUAGCUAAUACCGGAUCAUAUUUUGAACCGCAUGGUUCAAAAGUGAAAGACGGUCUUGCUGUCACUUAUCGAUGGAUCCGCGCUACAUUAUCUAGUUGGUAAGGUAACGGCUUACCAAGGCAACGAUGCAUAGCCGACCUCGGAGGGUGACCGGCCACACUGGAACGAAGACACGGUCGAGACUACUACGGGAGGCAGCAGUAGGGAAUCUUCCGCAAUGGGCGAAAGCCUGACGGAGCAACGCCGCGUGAGUGAUGAAGGUCUUCGGAUCGUAAAACUCUGUUAUUAGGGAAGAACAUAUGUGUAAGUAACUGUGCACAUCUUGACGGUACCUAAUCAGAAAGCCACGGCUAACUACGUG
rnacentral:rRNA from 1 species